rnacentral:rRNA from 1 species
GACGAACGCUGGCGGCGUGCUUAACACAUGCAAGUCGAACGGAAAGGCCCUGCUUUUGUGGGGUGCUCGAGUGGCGAACGGGUGUGUAACACGUGAGUAUCCUGCCCUUGACUUUGGGAUAACCUCAGGAAACUGGGGCUACUACCGGCUAGGAGCUCCUGCUGCAUGGUGGGGGUUGGAAAGUUUCGGCGGUUGGGGAUGGACUCGCGGCUUAUCAGCUUGUUGGUGGGGUAGUGGCUUACCCAGGCUUUGACGGGUAGCCGGCCUGAGAGGGUGAACGGCCACAUGGGGACUGAGAGACGGCGCAGACUCCAACGGGAGGCAGCAGUGGGGAAUAUUGCACAAUGGGGGGAAGCCUGAUGCAGCAACGCCGCGUGCGGGAAGACGGCCUUCGGGUUGUAAACCGCUUUCGCCUGAGACGAAGCGUGAGUGACGGUAAUGGGUAAAGAAGCACCGGCUAACUACGUG